rnacentral:rRNA from 1 species
GGAGAGUUUGAUCCUGGCUCAGGACGAACGCUGGCGGCGUGCUUAACACAUGCAAGUCGAACGCUGAAGCUUGGUGCUUGCACUGGGUGGAUGAGUGGCGAACGGGUGAGUAAUACGUGAGUAACCUGCCCUUGACUCUGGGAUAAGCCUGGGAAACUGGGUCUAAUACUGGAUAUGACAUGCCACUGCAUGGUGGUGUGUGGAAAGGGUUUUACUGGUUUUGGAUGGGCUCACGGCCUAUCAGCUUGUUGGUGGGGUAAUGGCCUACCAAGGCGACGACGGGUAGCCGGCCUGAGAGGGUGACCGGCCACACUGGGACUGAGACACGGCCCAGACUCCUACGGGAGGCAGCAGUGGGGAAUAUUGCACAAUGGGCGGAAGCCUGAUGCAGCGACGCCGCGUGAGGGAUGACGGCCUUCGGGUUGUAAACCUCUUUCAGCACGGAAGAAGCGAGAGUGACG